rnacentral:rRNA from 1 species
UACGUAGGGUGCGAGCGUUAAUCGGAAUUACUGGGCGUAAAGCGUGCGCAGGCGGUCUGUUAAGACCGAUGUGAAAUCCCCGGGCUUAACCUGGGAACUGCAUUGGUGACUGGCAGGCUUUGAGUGUGGCAGAGGGAGGUAGAAUUCACGUGUAGCAGUGAAAUGCGUAGAGAUGUGGAGGAAUACCGAUGGCGAAGGCAGCCUCCUGGGCCAACACUGACGCUCGAUGCACGAAAAAGCGUGGGGGAGCAAAACAGG